rnacentral:rRNA from 1 species
UACGAAGGGGGCUAGCGUUGCUCGGAAUCACUGGGCGUAAAGCGCACGUAGGCGGAUCUUUAAGUCAGAGGUGAAAUCCCAAGGCUCAACCUUGGAACUGCCUUUGAUACUGGGGAUCUCGAGUCCGGAAGAGGUUGGUGGAAUUGCGAGUGUAGAGGUGAAAUUCGUAGAUAUUCGCAAGAACACCAGUGGCGAAGGCGGCCAACUGGUCCGGUACUGACGCUGAGGUGCGAAAGCGUGGGGAGCAAACAGG